rnacentral:rRNA from 1 species
AACGAACGCUGGCGGCAUGCCUAACACAUGCAAGUCGAACGAGACCUUCGGGUCUAGUGGCGCACGGGUGCGUAACGCGUGGGAACCUGCCCUUAGGUUCGGAAUAACUCCCCGAAAGGGGUGCUAAUACCGGAUAAUGUCUUCGGACCAAAGAUUUAUCGCCUUUGGAUGGGCCCGCGUUGGAUUAGCUAGUUGGUAGGGUAAAAGCCUACCAAGGCGACGAUCCAUAGCUGGUCUGAGAGGAUGAUCAGCCACACUGGGACUGAGACACGGCCCAGACUCCUACGGGAGGCAGCAAUGGGGAAUAUUGGAACAUGGGGCGAAGGCUGAACCAGCCAUGCCGCGUGAGUGAUGAAGGCCUUAGGGUUGUAAAGCUCUUUUACCCGGGAUGAUAAUGACAGUACCGGGAGAAUAAGCUCCGGCUAACUCCGUG